AUUGAACGCUGGCGGCAUGCCUUACACAUGCAAGUCGAACGGUAACAGGUCUUCGGAUGCUGACGAGUGGCGAACGGGUGAGUAAUACAUCGGAACGUGCCCGAUCGUGGGGGAUAACGGAGCGAAAGCUUUGCUAAUACCGCAUACGAUCUACGGAUGAAAGCAGGGGACCGCAAGGCCUUGUGCGGACGGAGCGGCCGAUGGCAGAUUAGGUAGUUGGUGGGAUAAAAGCUUACCAAGCCGACGAUCUGUAGCUGGUCUGAGAGGACGACCAGCCACACUGGGACUGAGACACGGCCCAGACUCCUACGGGAGGCAGCAGUGGGGAAUUUUGGACAAUGGGCGAAAGCCUGAUCCAGCCAUGCCGCGUGCAGGAUGAAGGCCUUCGGGUUGUAAACUGCUUUUGUACGGAACGAAAAGACUCUUUCUAAUAAAGAGGGUCCAUGACGGUACCGUAAGAAUAAGCACCGGCUAACUACGUG
rnacentral:rRNA from 1 species